GUUGCAGUUAAAGCUCGUAGUUGGAUUUCGGAAGGUCCUUAGUAAUCCGCCCCUUCGGGGAGCGGGUUACUGGCCUCCUAUGUUCCUAACGGUCCUCAUCCGCGAGGGUGGGGAAUCAACCGCUAGGAUCGUUUACUUUGAGGAAAUUAGAGUGUUCAAAGCAGGCGUAACUCGCCUCCGAAUACGUUAGCAUGGGAUAAUGGAAUACGACUUCGGUCUUGUUUCGUUGGUUUCGCUUGGCUGAAGUAAUGAUUGAUAGGGACAGUUGGGGGCAUUAGUAUUUAGUUGUCAGAGGUGAAAUUCUAGGAUUUACUAAAGACUGACCAAUGCGAAAGCAUUUGCCAAGGAUGUUUUCAUUAAUCAAGAACGAAAGUAGGGGGAUCGAAGACGAUCAGAUACCGUCGUAGUCUCUACCGUAAACUAUGCCGACCAGGGAUCCGGAGAGUUUGCAUGGAUGACUCCCCGGGCACCUUGUGAGAAAUCAUAAGUGUUUGGGUUUUGGGGGGAGUAUGGUCGCAAGGCUGAAACUUAAAGGAAUUGACGGAAGGGCACCACCAGGAGUGGAACCUGCGGCUUAAUUUGACUC
rnacentral:rRNA from 1 species